ACUGACUGCUGGGUGAACAGCAGGAAAAGCCCAACUGCAGGAAUCACAGGGGGUGAGCCCUGGGGUUCCCUCCUCGUGGCAGGCAAGCCAGGCUGUCGGGAAAUUAGAGUGUCUUAGAGACCCUUUCAGCCUUCCGUCCUCUCACUUUGCAGGCUGGUGUCAAGACUGUGCUAAUGACCUCCAGGUCCUAAGUCUCUUGUUGCCUGGUGACAAAGUUUCACAGUUGAGGAGGAGAAGCUGGGACUAGCAGGCUUCACGAGAAACACAAAGGUAUAGCCUUGCUCACUGCAUAUCCACUGACCUGACCCAUAGUACAACUCCAGUAGGAACUGUUGGACAGAUGACUGAAUGAGGAGACUGAACUGUAGCCAGCUCUAGAGAUUAAAAAAAGUCAUGGAGAUUCAGAAAGACAGGAAGUUACUGCAUAUAAAGGUUAACACCCACCCUCACCUUCUACAAACAGCCUCAGCUAAAGAUACCUGGGAGGAGCUUGUAGAAGAUGCCACUCUCUGCAAUCCAGAGGAAAAUGUCUUUCCCUUUGAGCGGAUCAUUUCUACCAAGGUCAAACUCAUAUUUUACAUUGAGUUUGUAUGAAAAAAAAAUCAGAUGUUUAAUUUUUCAUGUAAUCAAAGAACAAUAACAAAAGCAAACCUUCACUUGAGGACUGACUCUGGACUGGUUCUGGAAGCUGUACAAGGGACAUCCCCAGCCACGUGGUAACUGGCAUGAGCCCACAAUUAAUAUGCAUUAAAUCAGUCACUCCUCAAGUCAAA
rnacentral:lncRNA from 1 species